rnacentral:lncRNA from 1 species
GAUCGUAUCUAGUGCUUAUGAUUAAGAAUUUAAUUAGGGUGCGUUUGGUUCGCGUUAUCCUUUAAAGAUUCCUAGUAAUUCAAUGGGAAUAAAAAAAUAUGACGAUGUUUGACUAAACGCGCUAAGUAAUCUAGUUGAUAAUAUUGGAUUCACUUGGGAAUAAGAUUGACCCCAAAGUACUAAUCUCAUUCCCUUGAGGGAGGGUGGGUAUCCUCAUAUUAAUGGAUUGGAGUAAUCAUAAUAUGUCUAAUCUCUUUCUUUCUUUCUACCCGCCGGCUAACUGAUAUUAUUUUUCUUUACACUCUAACUUUAUAUCUCUCUCUAAACUUAUUUUUCUCUCUAAAAUUCAACUUUUUCUCUUUCUCUCUCUCUCUUUCUAAAAUUUCAACUCUCUCACUCCUAAUUUCGACUAUAUUUUUCUUUCUAUUUUUUUAAUUAUGCUCUCUCUCUCUAACUUAUACUCUCUCUCCCUUUUUAGUAACAUUAUCUAAAAUUAAUUAAAUUAAUUAAUUAAUUAAUUGUAUAUUUUUUGUAAUAUUAAAUAAUAUGGCUAAUUAAUAUUACCGAACCAAACACAGGAAUUCUACAUUCUUAGUAAUAGGAUUAAUAGAAAUAAGAUUCUCGGAUAUCUUUUAUUCCUAGUAAUCUUUCAUAAUGCGAACCAAACGCACCCUUAUAGUAAUCAAAGGUUUUAAGUUUAAAGUGUAAUUGCUUUAUAUUUCUAUCUAAGUUUAUUUCAAAAAAAUUAAAUGAAGCGGAUGACUCAUCUUAACUCUAAAUUAUUUUGAUUUAACUAUUCGAUCUUUUAAAAUUUAAAUUUUAUUAUCAAAUAUUUUAAUUUAUGUGAUUCAAGUCAAUUAAUUAUAGUUUAACUUCAAAAUUUGAAUGUGUCAUUUAUAUUUAUAUAUUUAGUUAGUAUAUUUUUAUAUAAUUUUUGUAAUUAUAAAUAUUUAUUAAGUAAAUAACUAGUUUAAAAAUUUAAAAUUAAACUAUCGUUGACCGACUCAAAUUAUAUAAAUUAAAAAAAAUAAAAUUAAAGUUUUUAAAGAUCAAAUAAUUAAUUUUCAUAAUUCAGAUUAUUUUUUUUUAUCUCAUAGAUAAUACACCUGGUACGUAAGUAAAUCUAUUGUAUCACACUUAUACUACAUCAUCAAUAACAAGCCAAUAAUAUCUCUUUAUUUUAAAAAAUAAUAUAAUAAAAAUAUUUUUUUAUCAAUUAUGAUAAAAUAUAUCAACUUAAAAAAAAUUAUUAAUUAAAAAUAUCACAUCAGUAAUAUACUCAGUGCAUUCUUUUUUCUUUUUUUUUUCUUUUUUUUUUAAUUUU